CGCAAGUCUGAUGGAGCGACGCCGCGUGGGUGAUGAAGGUCUUCGGAUCGUAAAGCCCUUUUCUGCGUGACGAGACAGGACGGUAGCGCAGGAAUAAGUCUCGGCUAACUACGUGCCAGCAGCCGCGGUAAAACGUAGGAGACAAACGUUAUCCGGAGUUACUGGGCGUAAAGGGCGUGUAGGCGGUAUGUUAAGUCUGGCGUGAAAGCUCUCGGCUAAACCGGGAGAGGUCGUUGGAUACUGGCAAACUAGAGGAUGGUAGAGGCGUGUGGAAUUCCGGGUGUAGUGGUGAAAUGCGUAGAGAUCCGGAGGAACACCAGUGGCGAAGGCGACACGCUGGGCCAUACCUGACGCUAAAGCGCGACAGCAUGGGGAGCAAACGGGAUUAGAAACCCCGGUAGUCCAUGCCGUAAACGAUGCCAGCUAGAUGUUCACGUCUCGCAAGAGACUGGGGUAUCGAAGCAAACGCGAUAAGCUGGCCGCCUGGGGAGUACGGUCGCAAGGCUAAAACUCAAAGGAAUUGACGGGGGCCCGCACAAGCAGCGGAGCGUGUGGUUUAAUUCGAGGCUACACGAAGAACCUUACCUGGGUUUGACAUAGCGGUGGUAGUGAACUGAAAAGGGAACGACCUUCGGGAGCCGUUACAGGUGCUGCAUGGCUGUCGUCAGCUCGUGCCGUGAGGUGUUCGGUUAAGUCCGCAAACGAGCGCAACCCCUGGUGCUAGUUACACGUGUCUAGCGCAACUGCCCGUGAGAAACGGGAGGAAGGUGGGGAUGACGUCAAGUCAGCAUGGCCUUUAUAUCCAGGGCUACACACACGCUACAAUGGGCGGUACAAUGGGUCGCAAAGCCGCGAGGUGGAGCCAAUCCUAAAAAGCCGUUCGUAGUUCGGAUUGCAGGCUGCAACUCGCCUGCAUGAAGUUGGAGUUGCUAGUAACCGCAGGUCAGCUAUACUGCGGUGAAUACGUUCCCGGGCCUUGUACACACCGCCCGUCACGUCAUGGGAGCUGGUCACGCCUGAAGUCGGGAAGCUAACCGCAAGGGGGCUACCGCCGAGGGCAGGGCCGGUGACUGGGACGAAGUCGUAACAAGGUAGCCGUA
rnacentral:rRNA from 1 species